UACGAAGGGGGCUAGCGUUGCUCGGAAUCACUGGGCGUAAAGGGUGCGUAGGCGGGGCUUUAAGUCAGGGGUGAAAUCCUGGAGCUCAACUCCAGAACUGCCUUUGAUACUGAAGAUCUUGAGUUCGGGAGAGGUGAGUGGAACCGCGAGUGUAGAGGUGAAAUUCGUAGAUAUUCGCAAGAACACCAGUGGCGAAGGCGGCUCACUGGCCCGAUACUGACGCUGAUGCACGAAAGCGUGGGGAGCAAACAGG
rnacentral:rRNA from 1 species